rnacentral:rRNA from 1 species
GAUGAACGCUGGCGGCGUGCCUAAUACAUGCAAGUCGAGCGAACAGACGAGGAGCUUGCUCCUCUGACGUUAGCGGCGGACGGGUGAGUAACACGUGGAUAACCUACCUAUAAGACUGGGAUAACUUCGUGAAACCGGAGCUACUACCACAUAAUAUAUUGAACGGCAUGGUUCAAUAGUGAAAGACGGUUUUCCCGUCACUUUUAGAUGGAUCCGCUCCGGAUUAGCUAGGUGGUAAGGGAACGGCUUACCAAGGCACCGAUGCGUAGCCGAGCUGAGAGGGUGAUCGGCCACACUGGAACUGAGACACGGUCCAGACUCCUACGGGAGGCAGCAGUAGGGAAGCUUCCGCAAUGGGCGGAAGCCUGACGGAGCAACGCCGCGUGAGUGAUGAAGGUCUUCGGAUCGGAAAACCCUUUUAGUAGGGAAGAAAAAAUGUGUAAGUAACUAUGCACGUCUUGACGGUACCUAAUCAGAAAGCCACGGCUAACUACGUG